rfam:Cephalotus follicularis DNA, scaffold: scaffold103, isolate: St1.
UUGCUAUGAUGAACCCUAGGAAGCUUGGAAAGUUAUAAUAUAUCUGCUUUAUGAUUUUUAAUCCUGAGAGGUUACCUGAGUAA